GUUGAGGGUGACAUCACUUCUGGUGUCGCAGCCUCGUUGGCCUCGUGUGAUUGUCACCGCUGUCACUGCCCUUCCCGAGUCUGCGACUGGUCAAGUUCUGGCUAUCUGGGCAGGUUCUUGCCAAGUUCAUGAACCAGCAGGCGCAGAACAUCGUGCAGAAGAUGGCCGGGGCCAGAAUUCAGCGGGAGUACUAGGGGACAACAAUGAAGGCUUCUUCAAGCGCUGGCUGGACCAUCAAAAGUUCCACCAGCCAUGCUCUGUGAGGUUGAGUUUCCUCCACUUUGCUCUCCCGCUGCUUCCGCACCACCUCUGCCACUUGCUUCUGCUGCUUCCUCCCCUGAGAGUACCUGUGCACCUUGUGAAGCAGCUGCUGAUGAGGUGCAGAGAUGUCAGAGCAGGGCAGAGAUGUCAAAAUCUGCAGGCUCUCCUGAAACAGGUGCUUGCAUGGCCUCUGAGCUCGUUUUGGACAGAAGCCAACCAGUUGUCACAUAUGGAAAGGCUGAGCGGAGGCACAGACGGGGCAAGCCUUCUGAUGUGCCAGUGGAGUAGAGCCAUGGUGCUGGGUUAGGCUGGUUGGUGGUGUUUGAGUCCACAGCAAGGAUAGUCGGGUAGGGCAAACCUGGGAGAGCAUGCCUCUUGCUAGUGCAGAGGAGUGCCUGAAAGCCACAUCUUCAAGGAGCACAGCUUCUUUGAGUGGAAAAGCUGUACUCCGUUCCACCUUCGGUCUCAGCGCAGUGGACGCCACAAGCCAUUCCAGCCGAUCCAGCACCAGGAGAAAAUCGCGUGACCUGCCUGUUGGGCAGAGCGACACCCGUAGCUCAAGGUCACAUGCCACCCUCUCAACGCUGGAUUGGCUGGGAUGGCUCCUAUAGCGUCCACUGCGCUCGGACUGAAGGUGAAACGGAGUAUAGUGUAGGGGAGUGCCCGAAAACCACUUCCUUUGGAAGCACAGAUUUUGGAGGGAACGGUGAGUGUGAAGCUAGUGCAGAGGAGUGCCCAAAAGCCACUUCCUUAAGAAGCACAGCUUCUGUAAAGGCCUGCGAGCAAGCAGCCCUUGUCACUGCCGAUGCUUCGGGUAGAAAAGCUAGUGCAGAAUGCCUAAAACCACUUUCUUGGAAGUUGCAGCUUGUGCAGAGAAUGGUGAGCAUGAAGCUAGUGUAGAGGAGUGCCCAAAAGCCUCUUCCUCGGGGAGCACAGCUCCUGUAAAGGCAUGGGAGCAAGCAGCCCGUGCCACUGGCAAUGCUUCAGGUGGGAAAGCUAGUGCAGAGAAGUGCUUAAAAGUCGCUUCUCGGGGAGCACAGCUGUAGAGGCUGGUAAGUGGGUGGCCUUUGAAGUGACUGAAACCAAGGUAGCGUGCCCUUUCCAAAGCACGGUGCGAGGAGGGAAGCAGCGUGGGUGAAGUACAAGAGCACGAAGCGACAGUCUCGCAGGCUGUGUAAGGCACUAAACCAUACUGCCACUAUUGCAUCUCCCCACAAUUGCUUGGGAUGGAGUAGACCUUGCAUAGGGUACCUCUGUUCUUUGUAUGCGUCCGAUAAUCCAUUGUCUGGCUUGGGGGAGGACAGCCCAGCAUGUGCGACAAAGAGCAGGGCCACUGGAGGCAAGCAUCCCGUCACAGCCCUGCUGCAGAACCAUUUUCCUGCAGGCCUAGUUUAGCAACUAUCCAACCUAUCUAGCAGCAUUUGAAGACUGGACCAAAAAAGGGUUGCAUGUAUUUU